rnacentral:lncRNA from 1 species
UUUUCCCACAUAAAACCUUUCCCAAAAUUACUCCCCCACAUAAAACCCUACUCCGCACACUCUAUAAAACCAUCUUCUACACAAUGCAAAGGGGACGGACGAAAAAAUAACACAACUAGAAAAUGCCAAAAAAAAAAAAGCAAAAGAGACAAUGACUCUUGCGUGAUUGUCUUCUUCAUGAAGACUAAUCACUGAAGAAGAACUAACGAUUGUGCAACAUCUGAAAAUGGAUGGUUAGACAGAGAAGGGAAGAAGUGUCUGCAAAAUAUUUCCACAAAAGCCACAAUAGGAACAAACGAGUUUGCAUGUGUUCUAUGAUUUUAAAUUGAAAGCACAAGAAUCCGGAAUAGCCUUUGUUCAGAUUGAUACGUAGUGAUUCAAGAUUUGUAGGAGAUAUUUUCUUUGUUUGGUAUUUUUUUUUUUUGGUCAACUUAGGAAAGCAAGUUUACUAGUGGUAGGACCAAAUUAUAAAAGGUCUUCUAUAUAGGACGAAAAGCAAAUGGUGAUUUGGUGACUAAGAUAAUACUUUUGUGAAAUUAGAAUUGAGGCGUGCCAUUUAGUCGAAUUUUUUAUGGCCCUCGCAAAGUUGAAAGUGUGUAGUUGUUUUAGGCGCGCUAUUUUAAUAAUUUACCUUCCUAAACUCUAAGGCGUAUUUAUGUGACCCAAAUCCAAAUCUGAACAAAGUCGAAAUGUGUCAAUAACCAUGGGUGCAUUGAUGUGACGUGGUUAGAGACAUAUUUUCACGACGUUGCAAUUCUUGUUAAAAAUAAUAAAUAAAAGCUGUUUGAAAUUA